GGUAAAUGGGGGAUUUUUGAAGAGGAAAUGCAUGAUUUUCAGGUUACAUGGGAGAUUUUUGAAGAGAAAAUGUGUGAUAUUCGGGAUGAAUCAGGGAUUCUUGAAGAGAAAAUGCAUCAUUUUCGGGUUCAAUGGGGGAUUCUCGAAGAGAAAUUGCAUUUCUACUGGUUAAUGGGGGAUUUUUGAAGAGGAAAUGCAUGAGUUUCGUUUACAUGUGAGAUUUUUGUAGAGGAAACGCGUGAUUUUUUGGAUACAUGGGGGAUUCUUGUAGCAAAAAUGUUUGAUUUUGGGGUCAAAUGGGGGAUAUUUGAAGAGCAAAAGUGUGAUUUCCGAGUUAAAUGGGGGAUUUUCCUAGAGAAGAUGUGUGAUUUGGGGGAUAAUGGGGUAUUUUUGAAGAGAUAAAGCAUGAUUUUGGGGUAAAUGGGGGAUUUUCCAAGAGAAAAUGUGUGAUUUGGGGGUUAAAAGGGGGAUUUCUGAGGAGAAAAUGUGUGCUUUUGGGGUUAAUGGGGUAUUUUUGGAGAGAAAAUGCAUGAUUUGGGGGUAAAUGCGUAUUUUCCAAGAGAAAAGGUGAGGUUUUUGAGUUAAAUGGGGGGUUUUCCAAGAGAAAUGCGUGAUUUUGGGGUUAAACGGGGGAUUGUUGAAGAGAAAACGCGCAAUUUUUGGUUUAAACAGCAAGUUUUGAGAGAAUAUGCGUGAUUUUCAGUUUAAAUCAGGGAUUCUGAAAGAGAAAAUGUGUGAUUUUUGUUUAAAUGGGGUAUUUUGGAAGGGAAAAUGCAUGAUUUUCGGGUAAAAUGGGGGGUUUUCGAAGAGGAAAUGCUUCGUUUCAGGUUAAAUUGGGGGUUUUCGAAGCCAAAAUGUGCGAUUUUCACUUAAAUGGGGGAUUUUCCAAACGAAAAUGCAUGAUUUUCUUUUUAGAUGGGGGAUUUUCAUAGAGAAAAGGCAUGAUUUUUGUGUUAAGUGGGGGAUAUUUGCAAAGAAAAGGCGUGAUUUUCGGGUUAAAUAGGGGAUUUUUCAAGAGAAAAUGUGUGAUUUUCAGUUAAAUCGCGGAUUCUCAAUGAGAAAUGCCUGAUGUUUGCAUUAAU
rnacentral:lncRNA from 7 species